rnacentral:rRNA from 1 species
UACGUAGGGGGCAAGCGUUGUCCGGAUUUAUUGGGCGUAAAGAGCGUGUAGGCGGUUUGGUAGGUCCGUUGUGAAAACUCGAGGCUCAACCUCGAGACGCCGAUGGAAACCAUCAGACUAGAGUCCGGAAGAGGAGAGUGGAAUUCCUGGUGUAGCGGUGAAAUGCGCAGAUAUCAGGAAGAACACCAGUGGCGAAGGCGGCUCACUGGCCCGAUACUGACGCUGAGGCACGAAAGCGUGGGGAGCAAACAGG